rnacentral:lncRNA from 1 species
UGCACUCCAGCCUGGGUGACAGAGCAAGACCCUGUUUCAAAAAAAAAAAAAAAAAAAAAGAGCUUAUCUUUCAAAUAUAUGUGCUAAAAUAUCGCCGGGACAAUAUAUAAUAUGGAAGAAAUAGUGCCUGGAAUUUGCUUUAAAAUAAUCCAAUUGUUAAGGGGUAAAAAGUAGGUGGUCGGAGGGGUGUAGAUAAAAACAAAAUUAACCAAAAGUUGAUUAUUGUUGAAACUGAGUGAUGGGAAUACGACAAUACAUUAUCCUAUUCUCACUACUUCUACAAAGAACAAUUUUUAACUUUACAAAAAAGUUAAAAAAAAAACUUGGCUUAAAUAUAUUGCGUCAGACUUAGAUGUUCUACAACCAAAAAUCGGUGCAGAGCUGCAAUUUACAAAUUUUAACAUUGACAAAUAAGGAAGAGAGGCUUUAAAUGAAGAAAAAACCAAAAUGCACUAUAUAUUAUAGUUGUCCACAUUACACAAGUAUAGAAAGUAUAAACUGCUAUAAAAAGCUUUGGCAAGGACCCCAAAUUGCCAGGCCAAUAAAUGAACCAGCUAAAUACAGUAGUAUCUUUCAAACUGUAAAGCAAAAUAUCUAUAUAUUCAACCUGGUUAACACAUAUAUAUUUAAGCUCUUUCAUUAAAUAGAAUCAAGUUGUGAGAGAUGUUUACACACACACACACACACACACACACAUAUAUAUAUAUAUAUAUAUAUA